ACAAGAAGCCGAAAGGCUACUUAAAACCAUCGCGAACCAAUCCAAGUUGCUUCGGCGGCGCGGAGGCCCUCGGGUCGCCGCAGCCCCGGCCUCCCCGGAGGUCGAGGGGCGCCCGCCGGAGGUACGAAACUCUCCUGUAUUAUAGCGGCAUCUCUGAGUAAACAAACAAAUAAGUUAAAACUUUCAACAACGGAUCUCUUGGUUCUGGCAUCGAUGAAGAACGCAGCGAAAUGCGAUAAGUAAUGUGAAUUGCAGAAUUCAGUGAAUCAUCGAAUCUUUGAACGCACAUUGCGCCCUGUGGUAUUCCACAGGGCAUGCCUGUUCGAGCGUCAGUACAACACUCAAGCUCUGCUUGGCCUUGAGCCCCGCCGGCAGCGGCAGGCUUUAAACUCAGUGGCGGCGCCCGUCGGGUCCUAAGCGUAGUAAUACUCCUCGCUAUAGGGCUCUGGCGGAUGCUGGCCAGCAACCCCAAACUUCUCAAGUUUGACCUCGGAUCAGGUAGGGAUACCCGCUGAACUUAA
rnacentral:rRNA from 1 species